GGGUGUGGUGGCGCACGCCUGUAAUCCCAGUGGCUCGGGCAACUGAGGCAGGAGGAUCCUGAGUUCAAAGCCAGCGUUAGCAAAAGCAAGGCGCUAAGCAACUUAGUGAGACCCUGUCUCUA
rnacentral:sRNA from 1 species